AAUACUUAGGAAUCUGCCUAUUAGUGGGGGACAACAUUUCGAAAGGAAUGCUAAUACCGCAUACGCCCUACGGGGGAAAGCAGGGGCUCUUCGGACCUUGCGCUAAUAGAUGAGCCUAAGUCAGAUUAGCUAGUUGGUGGGGUAAAGGCCUACCAAGGCGACGAUCUGUAACGGGUCUGAGAGGAUGAUCCGUCACACUGGGACUGAGACACGGCCCAGACUCCUACGGGAGGCAGCAGUGGGGAAUAUUGGACAAUGGGGGCAACCCUGAUCCAGCCAUGCCGCAUGUGUGAAGAAGGCCUUUUGGUUGUAAAGCACUUUAAGCGAGGAGGAGGCUCCUGUAGAUAAUACCUACAGUGAGUGGACGUUACUCGCAGAAUAAGCACCGGCUAACUCUGUGCCAGCAGCCGCGGUAAUACAGAGGGUGCGAGCGUUAAUCGGAUUUACUGGGCGUAAAGCGUGCGUAGGUGGCCAAUUAAGUCAAAUGUGAAAUCCCUGAGCUUAACUUAGGAAUUGCAUUCGAUACUGGUUGGCUAGAGUAUGGGAGAGGAUGGUAGAAUUCCAGGUGUAGCGGUGAAAUGCGUAGAGAUCUGGAGG
rnacentral:rRNA from 1 species